rnacentral:tRNA from 1 species
GGUUGUUUGGCCGAGCGGUCUAAGGCGCCUGAUUCAAGAUAAUUAUCUUAACGCUGUAAUACAGCGGAAUCCUCAGGUAUCGUAAGAUGCAAGAGUUCGAAUCUCUUAGCAACCA